rnacentral:siRNA from 1 species
CAAGUUUUCAAGAGCAAGCUCA